GAAUUUAGGACAUGUUGAUGAAAACACAGAAUAAAUUUUAGGGGGAAUUUCUAAACAGGAUGUUUAAACAAUAUGAACAAGCUAAGUAUACGUUGAAGCAUUAAGAGAUUUCGAAGAAAAGAUUUACGUUUAUCAAAAAUGGAAUAGGACAAUUUAUCAUUUGUGGUUUAUCAAAAUUUUGUGUGACAACAAAAAAACAAGAAAUUGAAAGCGUAUAUAAAGAGCGAUGACAAGG
rnacentral:lncRNA from 1 species